CAAGUAUCACUGACAAAAACUAACAAUGGUCAAGCUUAGUUUUAUACAUGAAAAUGAAAGAGUUUGUGUUUCACUUUGAAUUUUUUCUUUAUGUUUGUUUUUAUUAUAAACAAUAUCUUAUGAUUGUUUUAUGUCUUAAUUUUUUAUUUUUUUUUAAACAAUCUCAUAUGAUUGUUUAUAUUUGUUUAAAACAGUAUUUACUUGUAAAAUCUGCAUAUUUAAAUAAUUAUGGUAUUGGAAACAUUAUUUUGGAAAUAAUCUAUUUAUUUUUGUACAUAAGUUAUGCAAGAUUUUGAUAUUUGCAUAUGAUACCAUCAUAUCCAUUUUCUUAAUUUGGAAUAAAAUAAUAAAAUGCCAAACAUUACCUGUGUUACAUAAACUGUCAACAAAAUAACAAGACAAUACCUUAAAACACCCUUAUUUCACACCACUAACAAUAAACAGAUAACAAUCUGUCAGGCAUUCAGAGCUAAACAGGGUACUGAUUAUCUAGGGGUAGAUAAGGCUACUGAUGGGGUCCUAGAGAUAAGGCUGUGUGGAAUAAGAUAUAAGGCUUUUGAUUGGCUAUUGCACUGAGGAAGUUAUCUUUUUGAAAACAACAACUUUUGAAAAACAAGCUGGUGUCAGCAACUGAAUAUUGAGCUAAAUUUAAUUCAGCAACAUUAAUAUAAAGAAGUGAAAGACUUAUAAUGGUAGUGUAAAAUGUCUUGAAAUUCUGUCAGCAUGAAGUAUUGUGUGAUGAAAACAAUGUGUUUUUUACUGCAAGUGGAAAUCAAUAAUAAGUUGGUUGGAAAGGAGGUUGAACUGCCUGUUGUUGUUUUUGGAAUACUGAAGAACAGUUUUAACAGGUUUGUAUUGUCAUUUCUUCACCCCUUUUUUUAUUUAGUUUAUUGAAUUAAUUAUGAUCAUUAUCAUAUUUAUGUAUUGUCACUGGGAAAUGUAAAUGGAUAAGUUAUUGUAUUGCAAUUUAAAGGAUAAACAACACAUUUUGAAGCAAAAAUAGAUAAACUUACACAUGAAAAAGUGUAAAUGUUGUGUACAGUGAAUAAUUAUGGUUGUGUUUCAUGGUUAUUGUCAUCUAAAAUUUUAUUUAUAUCUAUUUCUGGUUAUUACUGAACGGAUUUCUUUCCCUCUUACUUAAUUAGAACUUAUAUAUUUUAAUUUUGAAGGUUAAACUCUUGCCACAAGGCAAAAUUGACAUCGUUGGGAAGAUCCUUUGGAAAGAAUGUGCAUCAUCGCCUGCCUGAUGUAUGGACUUUUAAACCUGGUUUUUACCCUGCACAAGCUGGCAAACUUGAGGGGAACAAGAGUGGGAAAACCUCGCCCUGUCCUUGACCAAGAAAGCUCGAUUUGUUGAGAGAUCAACUGGCAUAAGAGAUGCUCAAGAGGAGAAGGACACAAGCAGCAUCAAUGGAACAACUACAUGUCGCUCCAGCGCCCGCUUUCCAGGUCUCUACCAGCUGCUUUCCAGGUCCCUCCACCCGCCAAGAUCAGGUCUAGGUCCCUGCACUGGCUGCUUUCCAGGUCCCCUAGCGGUCAAGGUCUCUCCAGUAGCUGCUGUGCAGGUCCCAACACCGUAUGCCGUCAAGGUCCCUCCUUAAGCUGAAAUCCAGGUUCCUCAUUCCACUGCGGUUCAGGUACCUCCAACAGCUGAGAUCCAGGUCUCUGCAGCAGCUGCGGUCUAAAUACUCCACCCGCAGUGGUCCAUUGCGGUCAAA